rnacentral:rRNA from 1 species
GAGCGGCGAACGGGUGAGUAACACGUGAGUAACCUGCCCCAGGCUUUGGGAUAACCCCGGGAAACCGGGGCUAAUACCGGAUAUGACCAUCUGUCGCAUGGUGGGUGGUGGAAAGAUUUUUUGGCUUGGGAUGGGCUCGCGGCCUAUCAGCUUGUUGGUGGGGUGAUGGCCUACCAAGGCGGCGACGGGUAGCCGGCCUGAGAGGGCGACCGGCCACACUGGGACUGAGACACGGCCCAGACUCCUACGGGAGGCAGCAGUGGGGAAUCUUGCACAAUGGGCGGAAGCCUGAUGCAGCGACGCCGCGUGAGGGAUGACGGCCUUCGGGUUGUAAACCUCUUUCAGCAGGGACGAAGCGUUUGUGACGGUACCUGCAGAAGAAGCGCCGGCCAACUACGUGCCAGCAGCCGCGGUAAGACGUAGGGCGCAAGCGUUGUCCGGAUUUAUUGGGCGUAAAGAGCUCGUAGGCGGCUUGUCGCGUCGACUGUGAAAACCCGUGGCUCAACUGCGGGCUUGCAGUCGAUACGGGCAGGCUAGAGUUCGGUAGGGGAGACUGGAAUUCCUGGUGUAGCGGUGAAAUGCGCAGAUAUCAGGAGGAACACCGGUGGC